rnacentral:rRNA from 1 species
AACGAACGCUGGCGGCGCGUCUUAAGCAUGCAAGUCGGACGGCAAGAAGAGAGCUUGCUCUCUUCCUAGAGUGGCGGACUGGUGAGUAACACGUGGGUGACGUACCCUUUAGCUGGGGAUAGCCGGUAGAAAUACCGGGUAAUACCGAAUAAUCUUGCUUCUUUGAAGUGAAGUAAGGAAAGGAGCUUCGGCUUCACUGAAGGAACGGCCCGCGCACUAUUAGCUAGUUGGUGAGGUAACGGCUCACCAAGGCAACGAUAGUUAUCCGGCCUAAGAGGGUGAACGGACACAUUGGGACUGAGAUACGGCCCAGACUCCUACGGGAGGCAGCAGCUAAGAAUAUUCCGCAAUGGAGGAAACUCUGACGGAGCGACGCCGCGUGGAUGAUGAAGGCCGGAAGGUUGUAAAAUCCUUUUAAGCAAGAAGAAUAAACUUUACAGGGAAUGGUAGAGUGGUGACGGUAUUGCUUGAAUAAGCAACGGCUAAUUACGUG